rnacentral:RNase_P_RNA from 1 species
UGAGUCGGCCGGGCGGCCGCGGUGAAAACUGAGGAAAGUCCGGACUCCACAGAGCACGGUGGUGGGUAACACCCACCUGGGGCAACCCACGGGCUAGUGCCACAGAAAACAGACCGCCCUGUGUUGUAACGCAGGGUAAGGGUGAAAAGGCGGUGUAAGAGACCACCAGCAUCUCGCGUGAGCGGGAUGGCUUGGUAAACCCCACCGGGAGCAAGACCAAGAAGACUUUCGGGUCGCGUCGGCGUUUGAAGGCUGCUCGCUUGAGUCGACGGGUAGGUCGCAGGUACGAAGGGCUGGGCGAAGAACGGGUACCCACGGGUGUCGCUGCCUCGCUCGUGUCACGACCAAGGUCUAUGGCAACAUAGGCCGCAGAUGGAUGGUCGCCACCCAUUCAUGGGUACAGAAUCCGGCUUAUAGGUCGACUCAUCCG